ensembl:lncRNA
CUUUAUAAACUUCCUUUAGGAAGUUUUAGUUGCUCUGCAGCCCCGCUAGCAAAGCUGUGAGGCUGAAGGAAGGGGGUGCUGCGUUUGUGUUGCAGAAACUCAGCGUCACAGACGUGAAAUGUUUGCUGGGGGAAAACCUCUGUGAGCUGAAGAAGGCCGAGCACGAGCCCUCGGUGGUGAGCUGGGUGCAGCUGCAAUCCCAGCGGGAGCUGGACUGCGUGCUGGGGAUCGGCCUGCAGGGAGGGCGGCCCGAGCCCACGGGGACAGCCUGCCCUGCUGUCACCUGCCCUGCUGUCACCAGCCCGCCCAGUGGCACCUCCACGGCCGCUGUCACCACCUCUCCUCAGCCUGCCACCUCAGCCAGUGUCAGCCCUGUGCCCACCACCCUCCCCCCUGUCCCCAGCACCUCGGUCAGUGUCACCUCCACGGCCACUGUCACCACCUCUCCUCACCCUGUCACUUCAGCCACUGUCACCUCCACGGCCACUGUCACCACCUCUCCUCACCCUGUCACUUCAGCCAGUGUCACCUCCACGGCCACUGUCCCCCCUGUCCCCACUGCCACCCCCACUGCCCGUCCCUCUGUGACCAGCGCCGCGCCCUGCUCCACCCACCAGGCUGCCACCACAGACAGAGCCACCUCCCCCUCUGUCACCCUCCUCAGCACCCUCCUGGCCACCAGCAGCCCCAGUGCCACCCCAGUCCCUGCUGUCACCUCCAGGGCCACCACCAGCACUAGCGUUGGCACUAGCCUGGCUGGUACCACCCACAGCACUGUCACCACUGUCCCCAACCCCACCUCUGCUCCCACUGUCACCCCUGUGUCUCACUCCCCCUCUGCCCCAGCUGCCACCUCAGCCCCACUGCCCAGUUCCACCCCAGUUCCCAGUUCCACCCCAGUUCCCAGCUCCACCCCAAUUCCCAGUUCCACCCCAAUGCCCAGCUCCACCCCAAUUCCCAGUUCCACCCCAAUGCCCAGCUCCACCCCAAAGCCCAGCUCCACCCCACUGCCCAGUUCCACCCCAGUUCCCAGCUCUGUUCCAAUUCCCAGUUCCACCCCAGUUCCCAGCUCCACCAUCCCCACCCAAACAAGCCUCGGCUCCUCCACGGCCGUGCCGUGCCAGCCCAGCUCCCCUCCAGAGCCUUCCAGCCCUUCCUCCAGCCCCAAAACACCACCUGGGAGCGUUCCAGAGCCACCACAGCCAACCUCCAACGGCCACAUCGUCCUGCCGCCCGCGCCCGGAUCAGGAUCCAGGCUCUGCUCCUGCCUCGCUCUCCUGCUGGCAGCCGCCUCGGGGGCCGCUCUGCUGGGGGGGCUGCUCUGAGCCCCUCAGCAUCACCCACCCUGCACAGCCCUCCCCCGUCCCAGUGGAAUUGCGCUGGGCAAUUCCCUGCUGGACGGCAGAACCCCAGGCAAGGGAAGAGAACUCAUCCACAUUUGAUGCCACCACGGGAUUUGGUUCUUUUUGAGGCUGGGCAGUGAAGGAGGACAGAUUUUUCCAGCCUGGAGAAGCCUGGCAGGUCCUUACUACUGAUUUACUCCCUGUAGUACAACCAGCAGUGAUGCUGGCUGCUCUGCCAAGGCAAGAACACCGGGCCCAGCUCUUCCAAGGAUUUCCUGUCCAUCCCACCCCACUGGGAUCUGCUAAACGGUGGGAAAAAUUCAGGGAUUUGAGUCACUGGUGGCCCCACACCUCAGCUGAGAGAGCCCCAAAAAUCCUGUUUAACUUUUCUCACGAGCUGCUUUUUGAUCGAGGUUUGUUCAAACCACACACAGACUCUCAUGGGAUGAUUAGCUGGAGAUAAUUUAUCUUGAUUACUGUUCAGUGCUGUACAAUAAAAC